UGUGUGUGUGUGUGUGUGUGUUGCAGCGGGCCCUCCACACUUCCAUGCCCUUCACCGUGUUCUGUCUGAGCGGCCUCUCUGCCGGCUGCCUCGGCCUCCUGCUCCCUGAGACCCUCAACGGACCCAUAGCUGAAACUCUGGAGGCGCUCAGCAGCCCGACCCACGGCCGAGUGCUGGAGAACAAGGCUCUUUUGUACGAGGACAACAAAUGGAAAUCAAACCACAAAUGAAGCCUUCGGCCUUGUCUUCAUCUCCGCUGCAGCUAAGAGCAGCGAGACAAGACUGUCCACGCCUCGUUCCUUAAGGACUGACUGCCUCAACAAGUGUGAAGUUUUCCUUCAGUGAACCCGAGGGACAUUUCAAACAGGCUGGUGCCUGUUUCCUCCUGUUUCUAAGUCUACAGGACAGUAGAAACUCUGCCUUGAGUCGAUAUCCCUGAAUGACGUAGUGGUGGCGGUGCCUUUAUUUGGUGGCAGACGAUGCGACAGGAUGGAUAUGUGCCGUUUGUUAAGCUUCAGCGGAAGCUGCUUAAAAAGGAGUGAGUGAACAAAACACAUCACACAUUCUGAAUUUAAUCACAUUCCUCGAAAAAGACUUAAUUUUCAUUUCCUGUGUGUCUGAGUGCGUGGUGGCGGGGGGGUCAUCAGGAUUUAAUGUUGGGAAGAUGCAGCUUUACAGCAUCAGGUCAACAGAACAGGCUGAGGUCAGAGUAUCAAUGUUUUCAAGUCAAAGUUUUGUGAGAAACUAGAUCCGACGUGUCCAGGAUGUUUCCGCCUCUCGCCCAAUGUCCACUGGGAUUGGCCACUGCCAAAAAGAGUGAUGGACUGCCCCCAGUCACUGCAAACUGAUAUCAUUUAAGAUUUAAUGUCUCUGCCUCCUGUGCCUUUUCUUGUGUCACCUUUAUUAUCGAUGAAUCUACACUUUGGAUGUCAAUGGUUAAAAAAGAAAAAUAUGAUUCCAUGUUUAUAUUCAUGUAAUUAAAGAAAUGAAAAACCAA